rnacentral:rRNA from 1 species
ACAAGCUCCUGCUUCUGGAUGAGCCCGCGUCCCAUCAGCUAGUUGGUAGGGUAAUGGCCUACCAAGGCUACGACGGGUAGCUGGGUCUAAGAGGAUGGCCAGCCACACUGGAACUGAGACACGGUCCAGACUCCUACGGGAGGCAGCAGUGGGGAAUCUUGCGGCAAUGGGCGAAAGCCUGACGCAGCGACGCCGCGUGGGUGACGAAGGCCUUCGGGUUGUAAAGCCCUGUGGGGUAGAACGAACUGGCAUCGGGCUAAUAUCCCGGUGUCUUGACGGUACUGCCUUAGCAAGCAUCGGCUAACUCUGUGCCAGCAGCCGCGGUAAGACAGAGGAAGUGCAUUCCGAAAACUGACGGGCUAGAGUACGGAAGAGGGUUUCGGAAUUCCCGGUGUAGAGGUGAAAUUCGUAGAUAUCGGGAGG